rnacentral:rRNA from 1 species
UACGAAGGGUGCAAGCGUUAUUCGGAUUCACUGGGCGUAAAGGGUGCGCAGGCGGCUAAGUGUGUCAGGUGUGAAAUCCCGAGGCUCAACCUCGGAACUGCGCCUGAAACUACUUGGCUAGAGUAUUGGAGAGGGUAACGGAAUUCACGGUGUAGCAGUGAAAUGCGUAGAUAUCGUGAGGAACACCAGAGGCGAAGGCGGUUACCUGGACAAUUACUGACGCUCAGGCACGAAAGCGUGGGGAGCAAAAGGG